rnacentral:rRNA from 1 species
GAUGAACGCUGGCGGCGUGCCUAAUACAUGCAAGUCGAGCGAACGGACGAGAAGCUUGCUUCUCUGAUGUUAGCGGCGGACGGGUGAGUAACACGUGGAUAACCUACCUAUAAGACUGGGAUAACUUCGGGAAACCGGAGCUAAUACCGGAUAAUAUUUUGAACCGCAUGGUUCAAAAGUGAAAGACGGUCUUGCUGUCACUUAUAGAUGGAUCCGCGCUGCAUUAGCUAGUUGGUAAGGUAACGGCUUACCAAGGCAACGAUGCAUAGCCGACCUGAGAGGGUGAUCGGCCACACUGGAACCGAGACACGGUCCAGACUCCUACGGGAGGCAGCAGUAGGGAAUCUUCCGCAAUGGGCGAAAGCCUGACGGAGCAACGCCGCGUGAGUGAUGAAGGUCUUCGGAUCGUAAAACUCUGUUAUUAGGGAAGAACAUAUGUGUAAGUAACUGUGCACAUCUUGACGGUACCUAAUCAGAAAGCCACGGCUAACUACGUGCCAGCAGCCGCGGUAAUACGUAGGUGGCAAGCGUUAUCCGGAAUUAUUGGGCGUAAAGCGCGCGUAGGCGGUUUUUUAAGUCUGAUGUGAAAGCCCACGGCUCAACCGUGGAGGGUCAUUGGAAACUGGAAAACUUGAGUGCAGAAGAGGAAAGUGGAAUUCCAUGUGUAGCGGUGAAAUGCGCAGAGAUAUGGAGGAACACCAGUGGCGAAGGCGACUUUCUGGUCUGUAACUGACGCUGAUGUGCGAAAGCGUGGGGAUCAAACAGGAUUAGAUACCCUGGUAGUCCACGCCGUAAACGAUGAGUGCUAAGUGUUAGGGGGUUUCCGCCCCUUAGUGCUGCAGCUAACGCAUUAAGCACUCCGCCUGGGGAGUACGACCGCAAGGUUGAAACUCAAAGGAAUUGACGGGGACCCGCACAAGCGGUGGAGCAUGUGGUUUAAUUCGAAGCAACGCGAAGAACCUUACCAAAUCUUGACAUCCUUUGACAACUCUAGAGAUAGAGCCUUCCCCUUCGGGGGACAAAGUGACAGGUGGUGCAUGGUUGUCGUCAGCUCGUGUCGUGAGAUGUUGGGUUAAGUCCCGCAACGAGCGCAACCCUUAAGCUUAGUUGCCAUCAUUAAGUUGGGCACUCUAAGUUGACUGCCGGUGACAAACCGGAGGAAGGUGGGGAUGACGUCAAAUCAUCAUGCCCCUUAUGAUUUGGGCUACACACGUGCUACAAUGGACAAUACAAAGGGCAGCGAAACCGCGAGGUCAAGCAAAUCCCAUAAAGUUGUUCUCAGUUCGGAUUGUAGUCUGCAACUCGACUACAUGAAGCUGGAAUCGCUAGUAAUCGUAGAUCAGCAUGCUACGGUGAAUACGUUCCCGGGCCU